GACGAACGCUGGCGGCGUGCUUAACACAUGCAAGUCGAACGGAAAGGCCCUGCUUGCAGGGUACUCGAGUGGCGAACGGGUGAGUAACACGUGGGUGAUCUGCCCUGCACUUCGGGAUAAGCCUGGGAAACUGGGUCUAAUACCGGAUAGGAGCCAUUUUUAGUGUGAUGGUUGGAAAGUUUUUUCGGUGUAGGAUGAGCUCGCGGCCUAUCAGCUUGUUUGUGGGGUAAUGGCCUACCAAGGCGGCGACGGGUAGCCGGCCUGAGGGGGUGGACGGCCACAGUGGGACUGAGAGACGGCGCAGACGCCUACGGGAGGCAGCAGUGGGGAAUAUUGCACAAUGGGCGCAAGCCUGAUGCAGCGACGCCGCGGGGGUGAUGACGGCCUUCGGGUUGUAAACUCCUUUCGCUAGGGACGAAGCUUUUUGUGACGGUACCUAGAUAAGAAGCACCGGCUAACUACGUG
rnacentral:rRNA from 1 species